GCACCAAUGUGUCGGAUGAAACACGUUCCCUUAUGCACAUUCCAUGAUCGAACGUUCUUAACACACUUCUUACCUGCAAAAAAAAAGAAGUUAUCGACGAUAUAACGUUACUACCACUAUGUCGCAGUUUUUUACUAGGUGUCUUCAGGACUUGCCUUAAAUUAGUAUUAAUGAUGUACAUCAAAUUGUUAAAUCAGCCUCCGAGACUCCAGCUAACAAGAAUGAAAAGGGGUUCAAUAUGUAUACCUUUAUUGGAAGCUAACGUUACAUAGACAACUAUGAAGUAUCUAACAAAGAUACAUUGACCGGAGAGAUCACCACGAGGGCUGCCUGUCACAGGUCCAUGAGGAAGGGUGAAAAGUCGCACGGCAUGAGAGUAGGGAAAGGUUUUAGAUAGCUAGGGACCUUUAAACAUCUCCUGUGAGACACUGUCAUCAUGGUCAAAAUGUGUUGGAGACAGUGUCAACGUUUAAUCUUAUCAAUAGAUAGAUAUUAAUGAUGGGUCCCAAUCCCAAUUUAGAAUUGCCCACUUAACAGGUUAUUUGGUAAAGAUCUGUUGCUGCAGUGUUUGGUAAUUGUGGUACUGAGACAAUGUAUUCCUGUGUAGUUAAAUGAGUCCCUAGUUAAGAAGACAAGACACUACUAUGUUUAUUAUUAUUCAUGGACCGCAUCAUUCUUGUUUCUCACUUCAGUCUUUCAUCACACUUAUCUUCACAGAUGGUGUUAAAGCACUCCGUACCAGUGAUAGUGGUCCAGAGCCACUGCUCCUGUGUUGCAGGAAGUUUAUUUUUUUAUUUUUUUAUUUCACCUUUAAUUAACCAGGUAGGCUAGUUGAGAACAAGUUCUCAUUUGCAACUGCGACCUGGCCAAGAUAAAGCUUAGCAGUGUGAACAGACAACACAGAGUUACACAUGGAGUAAACAAUUAACAAGUCAAUAACACAGUACAAAAAAGGCGAGUCCAUAUACAUUGUGUGCAAAAGGCAUGAGGAGGUAGGCAAAUAAUUACAAUUUUGCAGAUUAGCACUGGAGUGAAAUGAUCAGAUGGUAAUGUACAGGUAAAGAUACUGGUGAGAUACUGGAAGUGCCAUGUGCAAUCAUCUGGUGCCCCUUCUUUACCAGACUCAACUAAACAUUCCUGCUGCACCACCAGUUCACAGCUGCACAGACACAGAAUAGUGUUGGCACAAGCCAAGAACACUUGUGAGUCUAUCAAUAUCCAUAAAAAAAUGCACCUGAAAACUAUUCAGCCUAUGUAACAGUAAAUCCGUGUUAAUUAGGGUGUGAAGACAGUUCCGGUUGAUGGGAUAGAGUUCCGUAAACCUACAAACUCGUGUGCUGAUGGAAUAAGAUAAGUUGGAGGAUCCUAGAAUGGAAACAUUUUAGAAAACAUUUUCCUGUGAUUGUUUUUGUAUCCAGAUGAUGAGCCUAAACAGUGGCGUCUUUACGAUGUAAUGACACAUUUUGGGACAAAGACUGGGGGGAAAAAUAUAAUCUAUAAGUCUGUAUUUUAAUUCAUUUUAUUUGAACUUUUGGGCUUGUGCUGUUUCUGGAAAAGUUACAUGAGUCUUUGUCAUAGUAAUCUCGCCAACCUGGUGUUAAGGUUUUGAAAUGUUUUGCAGAAGUUCUCUCUACAUAGCACUCAAUGGAUACAUGCCUGACAUGGACCUUCGCGUCUCAGAAACAUAUGCCAACUUUUCUCUACUUCCCCUCUUGUGACAACAAUGGAAAUGUCAUCUGCCCCUGGUUGAAUCCACCUUUGGGCCAGUACAAGCUGGUAGUGUGCUGUCCUAUCAGCUUCCACAGCCAAAGACCAUGGAAUUGUGAAGAUUACCGAUGCCCCUUCUCCACCAAUACUUCCAUUAGAUGGCUUCACGCUUCAGUCUUCCCAGUGUGCUUAUGUCCUUAGCCAUCGGGAGCAGUUCCACGUCAAGGCAUUAGAGACAACCUACGAGAUGUCACAGAGUCGAGGUUGCAGCCCGGAAUGGCAUCAGCUCAGGAAAAUUAGAAUAACAUCCUCUCGUUUUCGAGAGGUUUGCCAUGUCCGGGGAGAGACCUCGGCUGACCACCUAGCUGAGCGAAUGUUCAAGGGAUCUGGUAUGCAGACCAUGGAGAUGAAGAGGGGGCUAGCCAUGGAGCCAGUGGCUGUACAGGGAUCUGGUAUACAGACCAUGGAGAUGAAGAGGGGGCUAGCCAUGGAGCCAGUGGCUGUACAGGAGUACUGCACACUGAAGAAUGUUAACUUCUUUCCGUGUGGCUUCAUAGUGCACCCAGGUGCUCCGUGGUUAGGAUCCUCUCCAGAUGGCAUAUUUGAUCCCAGUGUGAGACCACACUUUGGACUCUUAGAGGUCAAGUGCCCAAAUGUACCAAGUUAUGUUGAGUGCCCUUACCUGAAGAUACAGAAUGGAGAGCUGAAGUUGAAGAGAUCUCAUGCUUACUACUAGGUGCAAGAUCAAAUCCUUCUCACAGGUUGUAGCUGGUGUGACUGUCAUCUGUGGACAGGCGGACAACCUAGUUGAAAGGAUAUAUAAAGAUCUACAGGUUUCAAAAACUAUAAGAGAGAAGGUUGACCACUUAUUUUUAUCACUACUUGCAGAAGUGUCUCUCGCAUCUGAAUGGAUCCCAUGCAUGGGUGCCAAGUUUAGUGAUUUCACAAAAAAUAAGUAUUGAUGCUCUUGUGAAGAAAACUAUAGUAGAAUAGAUUUGUUUAAAAAAUUGUAUUUCAGCAAAUGUUCAACAGUUCAGUUAAUCAAUUACACAUCUCCAACAUUGUAUUAAAUCUUGCAUUCUGGCUAU